GACGUGGAUGGGGCAGCUACCAUGCAGUCGAGCGAGAACUUCGGUUCUAGCGGCGGACGGGUUAGUAACGCGUGGGAACGUGCCCUUCACUACGGAAUAGUCCCGGGAAACUGGGUUUAAUACCGUAUACGCCCUUCGGGGGAAAGAAUUUCGGUGAAGGAUCGGCCCGCGUUAGAUUAGAUAGUUGGUGGGGUAACGGCCUACCAAGUCUACGAUCUAUAGCUGGUUUUAGAGGAUGAUCAGCAACACUGGGACUGAGACACGGCCCAGACUCCUACGGGAGGCAGCAGUGGGGAAUCUUAGACAAUGGGCGCAAGCCUGAUCUAGCCAUGCCGCGUGAGUGAUGAAGGCCUUAGGGUCGUAAAGCUCUUUCGCCAGGGAUGAUAAUGACAGUACCUGGUAAAGAAACCCCGGCUAACUCCGUGCCAGCAGCCGCGGUAAUACGGAGGGGGUUAGCGUUGUUCGGAAUUACUGGGCGUAAAGCGCGCGUAGGCGGAUUGGAAAGUUGGGGGUGAAAUCCCAGGGCUCAACCCUGGAACUGCCUCCAAAACUAUCAGUCUAGAGUUCGAGAGAGGUGAGUGGAACUCCGAGUGUAGAGGUGAAAUUCGUAGAUAUUCGGAAGAACACCAGUGGCGAAGGCGGCUCACUGGCUCGAUACUGACGCUGAGGUGCGAAAGUGUGGGGAGCAAACAGGAUUAGAUACCCUGGUA
rnacentral:rRNA from 1 species